ensembl:lncRNA
GUUUCCUGUCCCAAAGACCGAGAAGAAGGCGUCGUACUCCAUCCGCUUGGUGGGCAUCCAGUCCUCAAAUACUGAAGUUCAUGUCCUCCAACGGUCCCACCUCAAUGACGUCAGUGUUCGCGGUUCACCGCUUGAGUAACUGAAAGAUUUGGGUGCGUUACAUUUGACGAAGAAGUGCAAGAAGAGCGGCUCAAUUUCUACGGUACCGCCUGUUAAUGCUUCAGGGAGCUGAUGAAUCUAAGAUGGAUACUUUUGACGAUGCCACUCUAUCGGUGUUGGAGGCUGCCAGUGUUGAUGAGGAGGCUUUGAAAGGCCUUAGCCGGGAUGACCUGAGGGAUCUUUUUCCUGGCCCAGAGAAUUUCCUCAAAAGAAAGAAACUUUGGAAUUUCAUCAGUGAAAAUUGUGAAAAUACCACGGACCAAGAUGCCAACAAUUGUGCCAUGCCACCAUGCCAGCCUCAAACCUCAACCCCCAUAUCUGUUGAGAAAAAAAUGAAAAUGCCAGACCCUCCAGAGUAUGUGGUGUACACAGAUUCAGAGUUAGACAUGGUGCGUAGUCAAUACUUUGCACUGCUCUGCAAUGGAAAGGAAAAAAAUUACAAACUGUCCAAGGAGCUAUGUUGCAGACUUGUAAGGAACACAAUAACCAGUAUGGUUGCUAUCCUGCGUGCUAGUCCCAUGGGGAAAGAAGUCAGUUACCCGUCAAAAUUGGAAAUAAGAGCCAUGUCACAGAAGAUUAUAGACUAUUACCCAAUGUUACGGGAUGAUGAUCCAAACAUGCCUUAUCUGACUAUCUACACCAAAAUGUACAAGCGACUCCAAAAUAUGAGAUCCCCACGGAAGAGGCAAGGCUCUGUACCACAAAGAGGAGUGGCAAAGACAGCUCUCUUCAGUGCAGACAACCAAGACAUGGAGACGGAUUGGACAGACACAAGCAACUCAAGUGAUAAUACCUUACUUCUUGAGAGCAAUGAUGACCUUACCGAGGACAACUCCAGUGAAGCAUUCCCAGCACAUCGACCCCCCUCUGUGCCAAGGAAGCCAAAGACCAAAACCUUCCUGCUGCCAUCCGCAUCAGCCUCAGGCUCCUCACUCAGGACUGUGAUCGCUUCACCAACCACGCCUGCAAAGGAUGAUGUUGGUAAGCCCACCUCAGCACACCUCUCAGCCUGUUAUCCAUGAUAAUGACUUUCAGAGUGGC